CCCGCACAAGCGGUGGAGUAUGUGGUUUAAUUCGAUGCAACGCGAAGAACCUUACCUGGUCUUGACAUCCCGGAGACCCUUAGGAAACUAGGGGGUGCUUCCAUCUGGAAGAAUCUGGAGACAGGUGCUGCAUGGCUGUCGUCAGCUCGUGUCGUGAGAUGUUGGGUUAAGUCCCGCAACGAGCGCAACCCUUGCCUUUAGUUGCCAGCAGUUCGGCUGGGCACUCUAAAGGGACUGCCGGUGUUAAACCGGAGGAAGGUGGGGAUGACGUCAAGUCCUCAUGGCCUUUAUGACCAGGGCUACACACGUACUACAAUGGCCGAUACAAAGGGCAGCGACACUGCGAGGUGAAGCCAAUCCCGUAAAAUCGGUCUCAGUCCGGAUUGGAGUCUGCAACUCGACUGCGUGAAGUCGGAAUCGCUAGUAAUCGUGAAUCAGGAUGUCACGGUGAAUACGUUCCCGGGCCUU
rnacentral:rRNA from 1 species